AUGACUCGUGGAAGCAUAAUAAUAUACUCGCACUGUAUUAAGAUUUUUCGAGAUCUUACUCGUUCUUUUAUUUACUAUUUGGUUCAUUUCUUUCAGGUUGCAGCAAAGAAGCCUCAACAAUCGUUCCAGAUUCUUCAUCAGGAUAAAUCCAGAGCACAGCAAGUGCAAUUCGAAGGUCCAGGUUAGCCGAGGAACUGGGAAGGUGGUCCAAAGAAAAAACGAGUCCCUCAAUCCACACAUGGCAUUGUUCAUCAGGGACUUCAUUGAGUAUGACUGGAAGAACAACUAAUACCAGGUGAGACUGUUAAUUGUUACCUUGAAUACUCUGGGUUACUGUCGUUCUAAAUCACACUUUUAACCCCAGGUAAAGGAACAUUUAAAAAAUUGUAAU
rnacentral:lncRNA from 1 species